CUCUUGAAGUCACAAGAAAGUAAAGUCUCUGAAGCCUCCCCACGCUGUGACUUAUCCACGUCCAGGAUACGUUCUCCUCGACCCACCAGAAAUGCUCACCAUCCAAGCCUGCAGAUGGAGAUGAAUUAGAUUUUAGAAGAUUGAUUGCCGUGUGAACUGAUGGCCAAAACACUCUGGAUGUUGGACCAGCCAAUUUCUGAAUCCAACACAGCUGCCAUGCUCCGUCUUUCAUGGGAUAGGAGGCAUGGGUUGCCAUGUUUCUAACUGGAGGAGGAGACCUGGGGACUCUGGGUAGCUCUGAAAUUUGAACACCAUGAUUUGCUUGCAAGUUGCCCAGAGCCUCUGGGACUAAAGCCAAAAAGGUCAGCACCAAAAUGUGGAAGUAGACAUUGGUGAUGACAAAUGACAGCCCACAAGAGGACACACAAUGGUGAGGGAUAAAGGCACUAAGCUCUGAACUGUGUUUUACCUCCCUUGCUGGAUCCAGAUUGUACUAGCAACUUCGAGAGGGCUGAGUGGGGUACGAGAAGUGAUGGAACCAGAACAUCUACACCAGGUUCAGAUGACCACUCCAGCCCUUGCUCUGUGAUCUUAAGUGACAAGUGACUGUGACUUCUGUCUUGCUAGCAAAUGCUCUCUUUUGCUGUCUUUCAUGGAGUAAGCUGAUAUAUUAGAGAGGCCCCCAAGGAAAGAAACUGAAGAUGGCCUAAGACCAAGAGCCAGGUAGGAACGAAGACCCUCAGUCCAACAAGCCUUGAGGAGCUGAAUCCCACCAACGACUACGUGAGUGAGCUUGCAAGCAGAUCUGCGCCGCUUGAGCCUGUAGUAAUGAUACUCCAACCCUGGCUUACACCUUGACUGCCGGCUCACGAGAGACCCCUGAGGCACACAACCCAGUUAAGCCAUGCUCAGAUUUCUGACCUCUUAUAGUAAAUAACAAUAAAUGAUAAUAAAUCAUAAAUGUGUUGUUUUAAGCUGCCAAGUUUUGGAGUGACUAUGUAAUUGCAUGACAAUAGA